rnacentral:tRNA from 1 species
GGCUGAAUAAGCUAAAAAAGCUAUUGGGUUCAUACCCCAAAGAUGAGUAUACACUCUUCAUCCA